AUACUCCCGUCAACAGCCAUCAACAGAAGCUGCUUCCCUGCCCUCUCACCAGCAUCAGACUUGAUUAAAUGAGACAGGGUCUCGCUAUGCUGGCCAGGCUGUUCUCAAAUUCCUGGGCUCAGGCGAUCUUCCUGCCUCAGCCUCCGGAGUUGCUGGGACCACAGACGUGGUCCAUGUGCGUUCACUUCUGAAGAUACAGGACUCUCUCUGCAGCCUGCAGUGAUACAGAGCUCCGUCUGCCUGGACACACCACACGGCCAUUUCUCACCUAGACUUUUGCCAUUCACCAGGCUCCUCCCAGGAAACUGAGACAGGGCCCCAUUCUCAUGACACCCCUGCUCUGCUCUCCUCCCAAGCUCAGGGCCACUCUCUAGUUGCAGAGAAAACGCUAGAGUUUUCUCUGGGAAACCUCACAAUUUCUUAUCAAGCAGCUUACCAAAUAUGUUUCUGCAUCUUUUACACCCGUCUAAGGAGUCAGGAUUCAGAAACCCAGAGUUCCAGAAGACUUUGUUUCUUUCUAUCCUUUUCUUUUCUGUCUACUCUCAUAUCUCUUCCUUAAGGCAGGGAAUGGCCAGAAGAGCAAGCACAUGUACGUGUGUGUGUCUUUGUGUCUGUGUGUGAGGGCAUGUGUGAGUGUGUGUGAGUGCAUGUAUGUGUGAGCAUGUCUGAGAGUGUAUGUGAGUGUGUGUAUGAGUGCAUGUGUGUGUAUGUGUGUGCACGUGUGUGUGUAUGUGUGAGUGUAUGAGUGUGCGCAUAUGUGUCAGUGUGUGUGUGUCAGUGUGUGUGUAUGUGUGAGAGUGUGUGUGUCUGUAUAUGUGGUUCCUGGGGAGGGGAGAGGCCAAAGCUGGAAGGAUGUCAGGGAGGAGAGCCCAGCCAGGCAUCAGGGCCUGGGGCUGCAGUCCUGGGGCCGUAGAGGGCUGUGCACUUGCUGUGCUGCUUCCCUGGAAGGUAUUGCCGGGGUGCUGGCCGGCCCUGCUCUCCUCCUUGGCAUCUGAUGGUGAGCCUGCACAUCUGGGCCCUCGGUCAGGUGCGUAGCAUGCAGGCGCCCACGGGUUUAACAGCCAGGCUAUGCUUGUCCUUGGUGC
rnacentral:lncRNA from 1 species